GAGAUACAUUUCUUUUCCGAAAUUGCUUCCAGGUCCACCUUUUGCUUUUGUUGAUAUUUAUUUAACUAUCACUGGGCAAGGUAGACCCUGAAGUUGUUUCUUAAAUCUACAAUUAAUAUC
rnacentral:precursor_RNA from 15 species